rnacentral:rRNA from 1 species
AGAGUUUGAUCAUGGCUCAGAAUCAACGCUGGCGGCGUGCCUAACACAUGCAAGUCGCACGAGAAAGGGGCUUCGGUCCUGAGUAAAGUGGCGCACGGGUGAGUAACACGUGAAUGAUCUACCUCCGAGUGGGGAAUAACUGAGAGAAAUCUUAGCUAAUACCGCAUAACACUUACGAGUCAAAGCAGCAAUGCGCUUGGAGAGGAGUUCGCGGCCGAUUAGUUAGUUGGCGGGGUAAUGGCCCACCAAGACGAUGAUCGGCAUCCGGCCUGAGAGGGCGCACGGACACACUGGAACUGAAACACGGUCCAGACUCCUACGGGAGGCAGCAGUGGGGAAUUUUGCGCAAUGGGGGAAACCCUGACGCAGCAACGCCGCGUGGAGGAUGAAGUAUCUUGGUACGUAAACUCCUUUCGAUGGGGAAGAUAAUGACGGUACCCAUAGAAGAAGCCCCGGCUAACUUCGUGCCAGCAGCCGCGGUAAUACGAGGGGGGCAAGCGUUGUUCGGAAUUAUUGGGCGUAAAGGGUGCGUAGGCGGUUUGAUAAGUCUGAUGUGAAAUCUCUGGGCUCAACCCAGAGUCUGCAUUAGAAACUGUCGGGCUUGAGUAUGGGGGAGGUGAGUGGAAUUUCCGGUGUAGCGGUGAAAUGCGUAGAUAUCGGAAGGAACACCUGUGGCGAAAGCGGCUCACUGGACCAUAACUGACGCUGAGGCACGAAAGCUAGGGGAGCAAACAGGAUUAGAUACCCUAGUAGUCC